GCCGGGCGUUGUGGCGGGCGCCUGUAGUCCCAGCUACUUGGGAGGCUGAGGCAGGAGACUCGCUUGAGCCCAGAAGUUGGAGGUUGCUGUGAGCGUGAUGCCAUGGCACUCUACUCAGGGGGAUAGCUUGAGGCUCCAUCUCAAAAAAAAAAGAAAAUAUAUAUGAUAGAUUAAAAGUAAAAGCAAAGAGUAUGUGCUAAUAUUAUAGGUUAAUUUAAUUUUCUUCCAUGUAGUUUUUUCUUUCUAUAGAUUUUUUUUUUUUGAGACGGAGUCUCCAGCUAUCCCCCUGGGUAGAGUGCCAUGGCAUCACGCUCACAGCAACCUCCAACUUCUGGGCUCAAGCAAGUCUCCUGCCUCAG
rnacentral:SRP_RNA from 1 species